AGAGUUUGAUCAUGGCUCAGGAUGAACGCUAGCGGCAGGCUUAAUACAUGCAAGUCGUGGGGCAGCGCGGGUAGCAAUACCUGGCGGCGACCGGCAAACGGGUGCGGAACACGUACGCAACCUUCCCAUAACAGGUGAAUAGCCUUUCGAAAGAGAGAUUAAUACACCGUAACAUAAUGAAAAGGCAUCUUUUUGUUAUUAUAGGCUUCGGCCGGUUUUGGAUGGGCGUGCGGCUGAUUAGGUAGUUGGCGGGGUAACGGCCCACCAAGCCUGCGAUCAGUAACUGGUGUGAGAGCACGACCAGUCACACGGGCACUGAGACACGGGCCCGACUCCUACGGGAGGCAGCAGUAAGGAAUAUUGGUCAAUGGACGCAAGUCUGAACCAGCCAUGCCGCGUGAAGGAUGAAAGUCCUCUGGAUUG
rnacentral:rRNA from 1 species